GCCUAAGCUUAAAUUUUUAUUACAGAAUUUAAAGAAAAUUUUCAAUAUAAAAAGUACUUUAUAAAAAAUAACUUACCCUAACCAACCGCAAGGACCAACAUUCAGCUUUUUAAAGAAAUGAUAAUCCCAUGUCCCUCUUGCAUCAUGGAGAAGCAACAAAUAUAUAGUAAACUACAUUCCCGAAUGAUUAUGAGCUACUAACCCUUAAAAAUCAAUGUCUCAUAAUUGAUAAAGUAACUUUUAGUAGAAGUAACAAGCCUUUCAUAUAAUCAUAUAGCUGGUUUUUCUUUAAAUGCAUCAAAGUGCUGGUUUAUAGUACAAAUUCACUUAGCCUAAACUAUAAAACCCAGCCUAUUGAGGAUUAGCUCAAUAGGCCCUUAAAAAUACUCUAUUACUUAACCUCACCAGUAGGCUUAAAAGCAGCCAUCCAACAACGUUUUAGUCACUGAGACCCCCUAUUAAAUAUUAAUAUAUCUUUAUUUUAAACUUAAAGAAAUUUAGCAAAAAACUUUUUUGCUAUUAAACAGGCAUUCUAUUAGUAUUUAACGUAAAUUAUUACUUAAUAUUUCUUAAAAAAUCUAAACCAAAAUAUUUAUUUACCCAUUAAAAUACACAAAGCGAACUCGGCAAAUCAAUUCCCUGCCUGUUUACCAAAAACAUCGUCUUUUGAAAAUAUCUGAUAAAAGAUAAUGCCUGCCCAGUGAAAUUUUAAACGGCCGCGUUAGCGUGAGCGUGCUAAGGUAGCGUAAUAAUUAGCCUCUUAAUUGGAGGCCAGUGAAUGGCAAGACUAGGAACACCUUUACUUUGUGUAUAGAAAAAACUUUUCAUCUAAGUGAAAAGACUUAGAUAAUAAAGGUAGACGAAAAGACCCCGCGGAACUUUACCUUUUCCUGUACUCUCGUACAUUCACUUAAAAGUACUUAAGGUUUGAUUGGGGCAAUCUUGGAACCAACAAAGCUUCCAAUUUCUUAAAAAAAUCUAUUCAAAGUUUGUUAAAAACCAAAAAGAAGUUACCCCGGGGAUAACAGCGUAAUCUAACUUAAGAGUACAUAUCGAAAGUUAGGUUUGCGACCUCGAUGUUGGCUUAAGGAUAUCCACAUUAGUGCAACCGCUAUGACAGGAUAGUCUGUUCGACUAUUAUACCCUUACACGAGCUGAGUUAAGACCGGCGCAAGCUAGGUUGGUUUCUAUCUCCUUUAAUUAAAAAUCUUCUUGAUUGUACGAAAGGACCCCAAGAGAUGCAUCCCAAAAAAGCAUUUUUAUUAAAUAAUUUUACCUUUAC
rnacentral:rRNA from 1 species